rnacentral:rRNA from 1 species
GAUGAACGCUAGCUACAGGCUUAACACAUGCAAGUCGAGGGGCAGCAUGGUCUUAGCUUGCUAAGGCCGAUGGCGACCGGCGCACGGGUGAGUAACACGUAUCCAACCUGCCGUCUACUCUUGGACAGCCUUCUGAAAGGAAGAUUAAUACAAGAUGGCAUCAUGAGUCCACAUGUUCACAUGAUUAAAGGUAUUCCGGUAGACGAUGGGGAUGCGUUCCAUUAGAUAGUAGGCGGGGUAACGGCCCACCUAGUCUUCGAUGGAUAGGGGUUCUGAGAGGAAGGUCCCCCACAUUGGAACUGAGACACGGUCCAAACUCCUACGGGAGGCAGCAGUGAGGAAUAUUGGUCAAUGGGCGAGAGCCUGAACCAGCCAAGUAGCGUGAAGGAUGACUGCCCUAUGGGUUGUAAACUUCUUUUAUAAAGGAAUAAAGUCGGGUAUGCAUACCCGUUUGCAUGUACUUUAUGAAUAAGGAUCGGCUAACUCCGUGCCAGCAGCCGCGGUAAUACGGAGGAUCCGAGCGUUAUCCGGAUUUAUUGGGUUUAAAGGGAGCGUAGAUGGAUGUUUAAGUCAGUUGUGAAAGUUUGCGGCUCAACCGUAAAAUUGCAGUUGAUACUGGAUAUCUUGAGUGCAGUUGAGGCAGGCGGAAUUCGUGGUGUAGCGGUGAAAUGCUUAGAUAUCACGAAGAACUCCGAUUGCGAAGGCAGCCUGCUAAGCUGCAACUGACAUUGAGGCUCGAAAGUGUGGGUAUCAAACAGGAUUAGAUACCCUGGUAGUCCACACGGUAAACGAUGAAUACUCGCUGUUUGCGAUAUACAGCAAGCGGCCAAGCGAAAGCGUUAAGUAUUCCACCUGGGGAGUACGCCGGCAACGGUGAAACUCAAAGGAAUUGACGGGGGCCCCGCACAAGCGGAGGAACAUGUGGUUUAAUUCGAUGAUACGCGAGGAACCUUACCCGGGCUUAAAUUGCAGAUGAAUUACGGUGAAAGCCGUAAGCCGCAAGGCAUCUGUGAAGGUGCUGCAUGGUUGUCGUCAGCUCGUGCCGUGAGGUGUCGGCUUAAGUGCCAUAACGAGCGCAACCCUUGUUGUCAGUUACUAACAGGUUCCGCUGAGGACUCUGACAAGACUGCCAUCGUAAGAUGUGAGGAAGGUGGGGAUGACGUCAAAUCAGCACGGCCCUUACGUCCGGGGCUACACACGUGUUACAAUGGGGGGUACAGAGGGCCGCUACCACGCGAGUGGAUGCCAAUCCCCAAAACCUCUCUCAGUUCGGACUGGAGUCUGCAACCCGACUCCACGAAGCUGGAUUCGCUAGUAAUCGCGCAUCAGCCACGGCGCGGUGAAUACGUUCCCGGGCCU